AUGAGCGCCCUCCAGGCCUCCCUCCUCCUCCGCCCUCUCCCCUCGCCCCUGCCCCCUCGUCGGCGUCCGCCACCAGCCCCCGCCUCCGUCUCCUUCCCUCGCUCCUGCCACCACCGCCGCCCGUCGCCCCCCCUCCGCGCAUUGGCCGCCGACGGCCCCCAGCCUCCCCCCUCUCCGGCCCCCGAGCCUCCCGCGGCGGCUGCGGCGGCGGCCGCUCCGGAGGCGGAGGUCGACACGGGCCCCGCUGCCCAGGACGGGAAGGAGGAGCUGGAGGACCUGGUGGAUAAGGCUAGGGUUUGGGCGGUGGCUUUCGCGGCCGCGGUGGUCGAGGCGGCCAAGAGGUUUUUCGACUGGGUGGUGUCUGGCGAUUGGAUGAGCUGGUGGCCGUUCUGGCGCCCCGACCGCCGCCUGCAGCGCUUGAUCGAUGACGCCGACGCUCACCCCAAGGACCCUGCCAAGCAGAGCGCGCUGCUCCACGAGCUCAACAAGUUUAGCCCAGAAGAUGUCAUCAAAAGAAUCGAGCAAAGAAGUCAUGCGGUAGAUAGCAAGGGGGUUGCAGAGUACCUUCGAGCUCUUAUUCUCACCAACGCUAUAGCUGAUUACCUACCAGAUGAGCUGUCUGGGCGUUCAGCAACGCUACCAGCUCUGUUGCAAGAAUUGAAGCAACGUGUAUCUGGGGAGGACAAGCCUUUCUCGAAUCCUGGGAUAUCUGACAAGCAACCAUUACAUGUAGUAAUGGUUGAUCCUAAAGCUACUGGUAGAUCAACUCGGUUUGCUCAAGAGAUUUUCUCGACUAUCUUGUUCACAGUUGCUGUUGGAUUUAUGUGGGUAAUGGGUGCUGCUGCGCUUCAAAAGUAUAUUGGUAGCCUAGGUGGAAUAGGCACAUCUGGUGUCGGUUCCAGUUCAUCAUAUUCUGCAAAAGAGUUGAAUAAGGAUAUAACGCCCGAGAAGAAUGUGAAGACAUUUAAAGAUGUCAAAGGCUGUGAUGAUGCAAAGAAAGAACUUGAGGAGGUUGUUGAGUAUCUAAGGAAUCCUAUGAAGUUUACUCGCCUCGGUGGAAAGUUACCAAAGGGAAUACUUUUAACUGGAGCUCCAGGAACUGGGAAGACGCUGCUUGCUAAGGCCAUUGCUGGGGAAGCUGGUGUGCCGUUCUUUUACCGAGCAGGUUCUGAAUUUGAGGAAAUGUUUGUUGGUGUUGGUGCUCGGAGGGUGAGAUCCUUGUUUCAAGCUGCAAAGAAAAAGGCACCAUGUAUUGUUUUCAUUGAUGAAAUAGAUGCAGUGGGAUCAACUAGAAAACAGUGGGAAGGGCACACAAAGAAAACAUUGCAUCAACUUCUUGUUGAGAUGGAUGGUUUUGAACAAAAUGAGGGAAUAAUAGUAAUGGCUGCGACAAACUUACCAGACAUUCUUGAUCCAGCACUUACGAGACCUGGUAGAUUUGAUAGACAUAUUGUUGUCCCUAGUCCUGAUGUGCGAGGCCGCCAAGAUAUUCUGGAGCUCUAUUUGCAAGACAAGCCUGUGGGCAGUGAUGUGAAUGUCAAUGCAAUAGCCCGCAGUACCCCUGGCUUUAAUGGGGCUGACCUUGCGAACCUGGUAAACAUUGCAGCAAUUAAGGCUGCUGUUGAAGGUGCUGACAAGCUGACUGCUUCACAAUUGGAGUUUGCCAAAGAUCGUAUCAUCAUGGGAACUGAGAGGAAAUCAAUGUUCAUCUCUGAUGAAUCAAGAAAGCUUACUGCCUACCAUGAAAGUGGGCAUGCUAUUGUUGCACUCAAUACCAAGGGUGCUCAUCCCAUUCACAAGGCAACUAUCCUGCCUCGUGGAUCUGCCCUUGGAAUGGUUACACAACUUCCCUCACAGGAUGAGACUUCUAUCAGCAAGAAACAACUCCUGGCACGUCUUGAUGUUUGCAUGGGCGGAAGGGUUGCUGAAGAGCUUAUAUUUGGGGAAGAAAAUGUUACUACUGGUGCCAGAAAUGAUCUUCAUACUGCAACAGAGCUCGCUCAGUAUAUGGUAUCAAACUGUGGGAUGAGUAAUGCUAUUGGUCCUGUGCAUGUAAAAGAACGACCAAGUGUUGACAUGCAAUCAAGAAUAGAUGCAGAGGUGGGCAGACUCCUAAGAGAAGCUUAUGAACGGGUGACACAUUUACUGAAGAAGCAUGAGAAGCAAUUACAUGCUUUAGCGAAUGCUCUGCUGGAGCGUGAAACUCUGACGGCAGAUGAGAUCAACAAAGUAGUUCAUCCCUGCCAAGAAGAACCACAGCUUCCCUUCCAAGAAGAAGCCUUUGCGCUAACUUAG
rnacentral:rRNA from 1 species